rnacentral:rRNA from 1 species
GACGAACCGUGCGAACGUUGUUCGGAAUCACUGGGCUUAAAGGGCGCGUAGGCGGGCUGACAAGUCUGGGGUGAAAUCCCGCGGCUCAACCGUGGAACUGCCUUAGAUACUGUCGGCCUCGAGGAAGGUAGGGGCAUGCGGAACUGUAGGUGGAGCGGUGAAAUGCGUUGAUAUCUACAGGAACUCCGGUGGCGAAAGCGGCGUGCUGGACCUUUUCGACGCUGAGGCGCGAAAGCUAGGGGAGCCAAACGGGG